rnacentral:rRNA from 1 species
UUGUCUCAAAGAUUAAGCCAUGCAUGUCUCAGUACAAGCCAAAUUAAGGUGAAACCGCGAAAGGCUCAUUAAAUCAGUUAUGGUUCCUUAGAUCGUACCCACAUUUACUUGGAUAACUGUGGUAAUUCUAGAGCUAAUACAUGCUAACAGAACUCUGACCGGAGACGGAAAGAGUGCUUUUAUUAGAUCAAAACCAAUCGGUGGCGGGUUCACGCCCGUCAUCGUAUAUUUUGGUGACUCUGAAUAACUUUUGCUGAUCGCACGGUCUCGCACCGGCGACGCAUCUUUCAAAUGUCUGCCUUAUCAACUGUCGAUGGUAGGUUCUGCGCCUACCAUGGUUGUAACGGGUAACGGGGAAUCAGGGUUCGAUUCCGGAGAGGGAGCCUGAGAAACGGCUACCACAUCCAAGGAAGGCAGCAGGCGCGCAAAUUACCCACUCCCGGCACGGGGAGGUAGUGACGAAAAAUAACGAUACGGGACUCAUCCGAGGCCCCGUAAUCGGAAUGAGUACACUCUAAACCUUUUAAUAAUUAACAAUUGGAGGGCAAGUCUGGUGCCAGCAGCUGCGGUAAUUCCAGCUCCAAUAGCGUAUAUUAAAGUUGUUGCGGUUAAAAAGCUCGUAGUCGAAUCUGUGUCCCGCGCCGACGGUUCAUCGCUUGCGGUGCUAACUGGCGUGCCGCGGGACGUCCUGCCGGUGGGCUUGCUUUUCGGAGCGGCCCAACUACUACCCAUCGCGGUGCUCUUAAUUGAGUGUCGAGGUGGGCCGGCACGUUUACUUUGAACAAAUUAGAGUGCUUAAAGCAGGCUAAAACUUUGCCUGAAUACUGUGUGCAUGGAAUAAUGGAAUAGGACCUCGGUUCUAUUUUGUUGGUUUUCGGAACCCCGAGGUAAUGAUUAAUAGGAACGGAUGGGGGCAUUCGUAUUGCGACGUUAGAGGUGAAAUUCUUGGACCGUCGCAAGACGGACUAAAGCGAAAGCAUUUGCCAAAAACGUUUUCAUUGAUCAAGAACGAAAGUUAGAGGUUCGAAGGCGAUCAGAUACCGCCCUAGUUCUAACCAUAAACGAUGCCAGCUAGCGAUCCGCCGACGUUCCUCCGAUGACUCGGCGGGCAGCUUCCGGGAAACCAAAGCUUUUGGGUUCCGGGGGAAGUAUGGUUGCAAAGCUGAAACUUAAAGGAAUUGACGGAAGGGCACCACCAGGAGUGGAGCCUGCGGUUUAAUUUGACUCAACACGGGAAAUCUCACCAGGCCCAGACACUGGAAGGAUUGACAGAUUGAGAGCUCUUUCUUGAUUCAGUGGGUGGUGGUGCAUGGUCGUUCCUAGUUGGUGGAGCGAUUUGUCAGGUUAAUUCCGGUAACGAGCGAGACUCUAUCCUACUAAAUAGGCGCAUUUCGACAUCCUAAAGGCCCGCCGACUCGGCUCUUGAGUUGUGGUCGUGCGCGGUUUUUACUGUCGGCGUACUUAUAAUUCUUCUUAGAGGCACAAAUGGCGAUUAGUCAAAUGAAAAAGAGCGAUAACAGGUCUGUGAUGCCCUUAGAUGUUCUGGGCCGCACGCGCGCUACACUGAAGGAAUCAGCGUGUCUUCCCUGGCCGAGAGGCCCGGGUAACCCGCUGAACCUCCUUCGUGCUAGGGAUUGGGGUUUGCAAUUAUUCCCCAUGAACGAGGAAUUCCCAGUAAGCGCGAGUCAUAAGCUUGCGUUGAUUAAGUCCCUGCCCUUUGUACACACCGCCCGUCGCUACUACCGAUUGAAUGAUUUAGUGAGGUCUUCGGACUGGUACGCGGGGGCGUUUCGGCGUCUUCGAUGUUGCCGGGAAGAUGACCAAAUUUGAUCAUUU